rfam:Apaloderma vittatum contig12261, whole genome shotgun sequence.
UGGCUCAGUCAGUUGAGCGCGGCGCUAACAACGCCAAGGUCGCGGGUUCGAUUCCCGU